UGAGUAACCUGCCCUUAACUCUGGGAUAAGCCUGGGAAACUGGGUCUAAUACCGGAUAUGACUCCUCAUCGCAUGGUGGGGGGUGGAAAGCUUUUGUGGUUUUGGAUGGACUCGCGGCCUAUCAGCUUGUUGGUGAGGUAAUGGCUCACCAAGGCGACGACGGGUAGCCGGCCUGAGAGGGUGACCGGCCACACUGGGACUGAGACACGGCCCAGACUCCGUACGGGAGGCAG
rnacentral:rRNA from 1 species